rnacentral:tRNA from 1 species
GAGGGUAUAGCUCAGUGGUAAAGCACAUGCUUAGCGUGCAUGAGGUCCUGGGUUCAAUUGCCAGUACCUCUG